UACGUAGGGUGCAAGCGUUCAUCGGAAUUACUGGGCGUAAAGCGUGCGCAGGCGGUGAUGUAAGGCAGAUGUGAAAUCCCCGGGCUCAACCUGGGAACUGCAUUUGUGACUGCAUCGCUAGAGUGCGGCAGAGGGGGAUGGAAUUCCGCGUGUAGCAGUGAAAUGCGUAGAUAUGCGGAGGAACACCGAUGGCGAAGGCAAUCCCCUGGGCCUGCACUGACGCUCAUGCACGAAAGCGUGGGGAGCAAACAGG
rnacentral:rRNA from 1 species